GACGAACGCUGGCGGCGUGCUUAACACAUGCAAGUCGAACGGAAAGGCCCUGCUUUUGUGGGGUGCUCGAGUGGCGAACGGGUGAGUAACACGUGAGUAACCUGCCCUUGACUUUGGGAUAACUUCAGGAAACUGGGGCUAAUACCGGAUAGGAGCUCCUGCUGCAUGGUGGGGGUUGGAAAGUUUCGGCGGUUGGGGAUGGACUCGCGGCUUAUCAGCUUGUUGGUGGGGUAGUGGCUUACCAAGGCUUUGACGGGUAGCCGGCCUGAGAGGGUGACCGGCCACAUGGGGACGGAGAUACGGCCCAGACUCCAACGGAGGGCAACAGUGGGGAAUAUGGCACAAUGGGCGGAAGCCUGAUGCAGCAAGGCCGGGUGCGGGAGGACGGCCUUCGGGUGGAAAACCGCUUUCGCCGGUGACGAAGCGUGAGUGACGGAAAUGGUGAAAGAAGCACCGGCAAACUACGG
rnacentral:rRNA from 1 species